CAGCAGCCGCGGUAAUACCGGCGGCCCGAGUGGCGGUCACUAUUAUUGGGCUUAAAGCGUCCGUAGCCGGGUUGGGAAGUCCUCCGGGAAAUCUGGCCGCUUAACGGUCAGAAUGCCGGAGGAUACUCCCAGCCUAGGGAGCGGGAGAGGCCAAGGGUAUUCCCGGGGUAGGGGUGAAAUCCUAUAAUCCCGGGAGGACCACCUGUGGCGAAGGCGCUCGGCUGGAACGCGUCCGACGGUGAGGGACGAAGGCCAGGGGAGCAAACCGGAUUAGAUACCCGGGUAGUCCUGGCUGUAAACGAUGCGGACUUUGUGUCGGACAAGCUAUGAGCUUGUCCGGUGCCGGAGGGAAACCGUUAAGUCCGCCGCCUGGGGAGUACGGCCGCAAGGCUGAAACUUAAAGGAAUUGGCGGG
rnacentral:rRNA from 1 species